rnacentral:rRNA from 1 species
GGGCCCGCACAAGCGGUGGAGUAUGUGGUUUAAUUCGAUGCAACGCGAAGAACCUUACCAGGGUUUGACAUCCUGCGAAUCUCUUGGAAACAGGAGAGUGCCUUCGGGAAUGUAGAUACAGGUGGUGCAUGGCUGUCGUCAGCUCGUGUCGUGAGAUGUUGGGUUAAGUCCCGCAACGAGCGCAACCCUUAUUUUUAGUUACUAACUCGUUAGGUUCUCUAGAAAGACUGCCGGUGACAAACCGGAGGAAGGUGAGGAUGACGUCAAGUCAGCAUGCCCCUUAUGCCCUGGGCUACACACGUGCUACAAUGGUUAAGACAAAGAGUCGCGAGCUCGCGAGAGUCAGCUAAUCUCAUAAACCGUGGCUCAGUUCAGAUCGUAGGCUGCAACUCGCCUACGUGAAGGCGGAAUCGCUAGUAAUCGC